ACAGCCUAAAGCCACCGCCCCCACCCAAGACUGCACCCCAGUCAACUCUGCCACUGCGCUCAAGAAUAGGCCUCUUUCCGUCAUGGUCACAGGCAAAGGCACUGUCCUCCAGAAAGCCAAGGAAUGGGAGAAGAAAGGAGCAAGUUAGAAACAUCUAAAGACUGUCAGUAUGGACUUUGGUGACAAUCCUGCUUCGGUAAAGUCUUCUUUAAAACAGCAACUCUGAGGAAGGGUGAGUCUGUUUCAAAGAAAAAGCAAGGACUGGGGUAUUCUGAAUGGAGAGCUUUGGCCAUGAGGAGGCUGUGUUCUUUUUCUGAGCCAGAGGGAACACUACAGCCACCACAAAAAAAGGCUUCUCUGGAGACCUAAGUCUACUGGACAUUGUAUUUAGGGAUGUUCUGUUUCUUUUUUGAAGUUUUCAUCAAUUGCUUUAUCAAAAUUUUUUAGUAGUAAAAAGCUUCUGAUGUUUAGACUUUGGUGGAAGACAGUACAAGGGCCCUUCGGCUUUGAUGACUGAGAAGAACUGAACUCCUGUCAUCUCUUAUCCAAUACCUAGCAGUAUCAGGGAUUAAACCAUCCUUGCCUUCUGGUUUGUUUUCACCAAUCCAUAUUAGACCCAACUGGUAUCUUUGAUGAUUUUGAAGAGCAGUGGCAGCACCUGUGUAAAACCACCUGCAACCUGUUGUGUUUUUAAAGAAACAGUAGCAGGAGAAAUAUUUGGGACCAAGCAGAGACACUGAUCCAAAUAAUGUGUUUUCUUCCCACUCCAAGGCAGGCCUCAGUGAACUGCCUUUAAAUAAAAUGCUGGAAAAAACAAGUUUCAGUAAGAACCUACAGUGAGCCCCUCCCAAGUAAACACGCUGAAAAGGAAGACCUUCCACGGAGCUGAUGCCUGGUAUCUGGACUGGUCCCACGUGGCCCCUCCAGACAGGGCCAUCUGCACACUUAGCUCCUACCCCCAUCAUCAACCAAACAGAUCAAGUGGUCAAAUGCAGUUGGAGACCUUUUCCAGUCUCUCUGUCACACAGAUCCAGUCACCAGAAGUCACAAGUGCCAUCUAAGUCCCUCUUCAAACUAAAAGCAUAUGCAUAUUGGAGAUCUUUUGGGAUGUGAUGCAGUCCACACUUCCGUUCAGAAAGGCCAUGGUUUGGGUGGCCCAGAUAAUGCUUUCUACUGGAGCUUUCUGUCUCAAUAAAAUUCUGUCUGGCAAAACUGUGCAAAAAGUGAACCUCACACAAGCCAUCAGGAUCCUCCAUUAUCCCUUGUUUAUCCUCACGGGGAAAGUGGCAGACGACAUCCUCGACAAGGUAAACUGGGUACACAAAGUAUUUACUCACACAUCAAGAAGCAUUUUCAGCAUCCCUAUCCCUGGCA
rnacentral:lncRNA from 1 species